GACUGGCUGCCGACCUCGGGGCCGCUCUCCAUCCUGGUCUGGUUGGACAACUGCCGAGGCGGAGGAGAAACGGCCUGAGCACAGUUUCACCACGUGAGA